UCGUUGCACUUGCCACGAAUACAGGCUAGCUCACCAUCACAGUCGUCGUCCGAUUUGCAUUGCCCGUUGCAACCGGCGGCAGUGGAGAGGGAUGCAUGAUGGACCAUGGUGGCCAUGACCAUAAGGGAGAAAAUUGAGAAGAUUAGUGAUGAAUUAGCCAUAUUGCUAUGCAAAUUUAAUGACUCUACUAAUUGUGAUGUGAUGCGUUGUGUUUAGUGUAGCUAAGUAGGGUUUGGCUUUGUAGUUGUGGAUUUUGGUUGGGAGAUAAUGUGGGUAUUUAUAGUGCAUAUGUGAAAGAUUUUGAGAAACAAUAUAACAGUGCAUGAAUGAUGAUGACUUGUUGUAGGGUCUUUUUAGGAUUGAAGACCAAGUCAAGUAUAUUGGUAUUUUAAGGUUUAAGGUGUUGAAUUCUAGACAAGGGUAGUCAUGUGAAGUUAGAGCUCAAUAGUAGAGACUCUCAUAGUGGAAUUGGUCAACAAUUGUAUACUGAAUUUUCAGUAUGAAGGAAGAAGUUGAAUUUGGAAACAUAUUAAACACUAAGAAUUCUCUGCGCAAGACAAACAUUUCUAUUUCAAUCACCAGCUGUUUAAUUCCACGCAAGUGAACAGAACAUUGAAGUGAAUCUAACACAUACCUCACGGCUCACGCCAAAGACUUUCCAGUAAACUUAAUUCCAACAAUUGCGGGCGUCGCAGUCGAAGAACAAUGGAGGUCUGGUAUCUAUCUUAGCAACAUUUGCACUCAAUACGGCGAUUGCAUUGACUCUUCGCACCGUCGCGAUUGGAUCCGGCAGUCUCUGCUACGUGUUUCAGUUCUCUGUCACCAUUUUCAUUGGUAGCUGUUUAAUUCUCCAUAAGAGAACAAAACAAUAAGGGAAACUAACACAAAUCUCACGCCUAAAGAUUUAACUUGCCAGUAGUCUUCAUUCCUCGCCAUUCAAAUUUUUCUAUCUUCUUCCUUGCAUAGUUGGUUUUCUCCAACUAAAUAAGACACAUCUUACCUAGAAACUGCUUCAUGUGUUUGGUAUUGGCCGAAGAUGAUUUCCCUAAUUCUUUGGAUGUUCCCAAAAUUAUACGUGAAAGACUGCAAUGAUCGUCUUAGACAAACGAGUAUAAAACGAAGACAACGAUAGCAGACAGUAACAAGUCAGAAACUACCACAUGCACAGUUAUGCUUUUUUAUGCCUUUGUUAUUGUAAUAAAGUGUAAUCAAACUCAUCUGAUCAUAACUAAUAUUAUUGGACUCUUUUGUCUCUAGCAAACCGAUCGAACAACCAAAUCUGUUUUUGAGUUGAGCCUUAAAGAGAAAAUAAACCGUAAUGGACCAGAUGAUUAGGUAGCCAUAACACUAUAAGGGGCCAGUUCGGGGAUGAAUCUAUACGGGCCUUGACGAAAAUCCCAUAAAACAAUAUGGGUAUGGGAAUUCGACCAGUUGGGUAUGGAACUGUUCAUCAAAAAGCUAUGGUACAAUAUUGAUAUAUUUAUAAUUUGAUGAUAAUUCGACUACAAUUUGUGACGAUUUAAGUGGUUGAAUAACAAACUUACAAUCAAUUCGACAAAUCAAUAUCCUAUAUGGUUCUGAAAAUUAUGUUUUAAUUUAUAGUUGAGCUUUGAGUUUAAAAAUCAAAGGUAACUAGAAAAGUAUAUUUAAAAUCAAACUACAUAUUCCAUUGAUUAUUUUAGUAUUACACAAUGCACACAGCACACAGCACACCACAAAUUAAAUUACUCAAAAACAAAAGUAGAAAAAAAACAACCAGAGAAAAAAAAACCAUUAUUUAUUCAAACACACAAUGGGCCCAUUAAUGAAAAAGCCCAACAUAAGCCUACCAAAAGCUCAAACCAUGGUCCAAGUAACCGGAACGAGGCCUAAAUCCUGAUUCAGGCCCAAAACCUUCCACACCUGGGCCGACCCGUCGACGAUGUUAUUCUUGCACGGCGGAAGCCCGGCGUGCUCCUUAUCGCAACCGUUGACGGAGUCGCACUCGUCGACCACCUUUGCCACCACGGUUUUUCCGUUACUCGCCGUGAUCUUGAUCUUCUUGCCG
rnacentral:lncRNA from 1 species